GAUGAAGAACGUAGCGAAAUGCGAUAAGUAAUGUGAAUUGCAGAAUUCAGUGAAUCAUCGAAUCUUUGAACGCACAUUGCGCCCCCUGGUAUUCCGGGGGGCAUGCCUGUCCGAGCGUCAUUACAACCCUCAAGCUCAGCUUGGUGUUGGGCGACGUCCUCUUUGGGGACGCGCCUCGAAACGCUCGGCGGCGUGGCACCGGCUUUAAGCGUAGCAGAAUCUUUCGCUUUGGAAGUCGGGGCCCCGUCUGCCGGAAGACCUGCUCGCAAGGUUGACCUCGGAUCAGGCAGGGAUACCCGCUGAACUUAAGCAUAUCAAUAAGCGGAGGA
rnacentral:misc_RNA from 1 species